UACAGAGGGGGCGAGCGUUGUUCGGAAUUACUGGGCGUAAAGGGCGCGUAGGCGGCCUCUUAAGUCGAACGUGAAAUCCCCGGGCUCAACCCGGGAACUGCGUCCGAUACUGGGAGGCUUGAAUCCGGGAGAGGGAUGUGGAAUUCCAGGUGUAGCGGUGAAAUGCGCAGAUAUCGGUGAGGAACACCAGUGGCGAAAGGCGGCUUUCUGGUCUGCUCUUGACGCUGAGGCGCGAAAGCUAGGGUAGCAAACGGG
rnacentral:rRNA from 1 species